AGAAAGAUAGAGAGAGAGAGAGAGAGAGGAAGAUAGAGAGAGAGAGAAAGAUAGAGAGAAAUAACUACUAGAUUUCAUUUCGUUCAUUAAUUCUGCCUGUCUCCAUAUUGGACAUAUCUUGAUUCAAUCAGAAUGAAUAAAAUGAUACUCAGACGAUAAGAAUAUAAAUGUCCAACGAUUGUCCAAAUAUAUUCAGUUUAUCUAGAAAAUUUCUAGGAGAGAACAUCGACGAUUCCAACAUCAUAGAAGAGAGAUAAAUAUCUUUCGUAUCUCGGCAGAAAUUUCUAUGUGAUUUUUAUUAAUAUCGAAGGAAACGGACGACAGAACGGAGAAGUUUGUCGCGUUCGACCUGAAAACCCAAAGGCCCGCGUAGCCUCGACCUUGUCAACCAAAUAAGGACCUAUUCAAGGUCUUCGGAGCCUUGCGUAAGGCCCCCUUUUAUACUGUGCGAGCCAAUGUUGGCAUAACGAUCAAGUCGAUUCUAUUAAAGAAAAUCAAAGAUAAGUAAGAAAAUAAAAAAAGAAAAGAGAUCCUUUUCGACAUGGGCGUGCCGUUCGCGAAUACGUGCCGUAGGUAACGUCUGCCUCUCCGCGGCCGAAAUCAAUACAGAAUGCGACGGUAAGUUCAACGUACCCACCCAGAAGAGGAAUGCUUAAGGCUCUUUCCCGUUGGAUGACGACGAAAAUCCGUCGGGAUAUUGUCCAGACGAUGAAAUCGUUGGGAGAUAGGUUUAGAGGUCGUAAACCUAUCUUAAAAACCGACAGAUUACUUAACAUCUCUGGAGAAUUUUGAUUUUUAGCAAGAAAACUUGUGUCUAAGCAAUCGUUACUUGUUCUCGUAUUUCUUUUAGAUGCUAUGUACGAUUGUGUACAUAGUGGCGAUUGUAAGUCUCUCCAACGAUUGGAAGAAGUGAAACUUUGAGAAAAAGGUUAGAUCCAGAUUGUAUCUUAAGAGGAUAGAUUUUCUUUGCAAAUAUAACAUAAAAAUUCUGUUUAUUUUUCCUUUCUUUUUUAAGCCAUAUAACUUUCUUAAUUAGUAUUAUUGCAUUCAAUGUGUCAAUUAGUCUUAAAAUUAAACUCGUCCUGGUUGAAAUUUUUACGAGAUGGUGACGAUGGUCAGCCAACUAUGUAAAUAUUCUUAUUUUCAAAGAGCUACAUAAAUGCUUCGUUAAAUUCUAACAAUUAAUAGCCAAAGAUCGGACAGUCAAUCUCUAACAACAUGCUCACCGUUCUAACGAAAAUUGGCUUUUACGGUAAACGGAUAGUUGCAUGGUCAUGCUCCUUUUCGUUGUUAAUCGUAUCGGAAGAGUGAUCAGAUAUUACACCGACUCUAACUAUGUUCAAUUUCUUCAUUCUCUUCUACUAAUUGUAUGUAAUUCUUUGAAAUACCGCUGUGUGUAUUUUUUUUUAUCUUAUCACGAAUUUAUCCCAAACAUAUGACGAUAAUUGUUUAUCAGUUUUUUAAAAGUCUAUUUGAUAUUCUCACCUAUAACAUUAUAUAUUAUUAUUAUUAUUAUUAUUAUUAUUAUUAUUAUUAUUAUUAUUAUUAUUAUUAUUAUUAUUAUUAUUGUGUCGUAAUCAGAAAAAAAAUUAUAAAUCUGACGUACAAUUUACGUUUUUAAAUUCCAUGAAUAAUUUAAAACUUAUAAAUUAUAAAUCAUUAGAUAAGUUUAUACGUAAGGGGAAAAAUAGAGAUAGAGAUAGAGAGAGAGAGAGAGAGAGAGAGAGAGAGAGAGAGAGAGAGAGAUCAUAGUACGAUCAUGUAGAUUGUAGAUCGAGACAACAGUCUUCAAUGGCGAUCGCGUAGCACGCGAAGAAUCCGGCCAGAAGAGGUGACGACGAUAAAUAACGCGAUCGCUAUAUUUAGUUAUUCUUUGUAUGAGUAUUCUGUACACGCAUGUGUAUAUGUAUAUUUCUUUCGAUAGAACGCAAAGAGAAGCGACGUCUUCUUUUUUGAUCUCUUCACCGACACAUCCGAGUUUUUGUAGUAGUCAUUCUCGUAGUGUGACAAGUCAGCUGACGGUAAAGGCAACGACGAUAAUAAGGCCGGUUCGCGUACGUAGAUACGUACGUACAUACAUACAUAUAUCGGUCGUGAUGUUUGUGAAUAUAACCGAAGGCAAAGUCAACGAUGAUUCAAAGCAAUGACAUUUGCGUCGAGUAACUCGUGUUCCUUUUUACAAACGUUUUUCAUUUUUUCUUUUUUUAUUAGUUUCUCAUCAAUCUUACGAAGCUAAAGAUUUAAUUUAUUUUUUAUAAUUUCGUAUUGUCGACAUUUA